rnacentral:rRNA from 1 species
GUUCAGCAGUCGCGAAACCCUCGCAAUGCACGAAAGUGCGACGAGGCUACUCCGAGUGCCAUCCGCUGAGGAUGGCUUUUCUCUGCUGUAAGAAGGCAGAGGAAUAAGGAGAGGGCAAGUCUGGUGUCAGCCGCCGCGGUAAUACCAGCUCUCCGAGUGGUAGGGAUGAUUAUUGGGCUUAAAGCGUCCGUAGCUGGCCUUUCAAGUCUCUUGUUAAAUCCAGCGAUUCAAUCGUUGGACUGCGGGAGAUACUGUUAGGCUAGGGGGCGGGAGAAGCCGACGGUAUUUCCGGGGUAGGGGUAAAAUCCUAUAAUCCCGGGAAGACCACCAGUGGCGUAGGCGGUCGGCUAGCACGCGCUCGACAGUGAGGGACGAAAGCUGGGGUAGCGAACCGGAUUAGAUACCCGGGUAGUCC